ensembl:lncRNA
CUUCUAAUUGCUGUGCCGCUUCCACCCAGGCUCGGGGGAAAGAGGCAGCCACACACUGCAAUGGGCAUGGCUGGCAGACCAGCAACCUGGUGAGCAGGGCUGUGCACGGGAGGGCAGCACGGGGAAGCAGAGCAGGAGGCUGUUCCUCUCCUGCCUCCCAUCUGCCUUGCAGAUGGACAGCCCAACACCGAUGGAAACAGAUGACCACCAGGGCCUGAGCUCCAUUUGACAAACUGGUGUUCAUGUCCUACAAAAAAGAUAAGUCACGCCCAAUUUGUACCCUGUCUUGCACCUACAGGCCCAUGCAAGCUCCAUAGCAUCCCCCUGCUCUUAACCCAAAACUUUAACGCUGUUUGUCUGACUCCUCAUCCCUCUGCAGGUGCAGGCACCACACCGCAUAUAACUGCAGUGGCCGUGUCAAUGUGGCGCUGCUGACACAGUGAGCCCAAAAUGGCCAAGGAAACCAUUUUCAGACCAGGAACCCGGUGAGCGGGGCUGUGCAGGGGAGGGCAGAGCAGAGAAGCAGGGCAGGAUGCUGCUCCUUUUGUCCUUCCCCUCUGCCUUGCAGAUGGGCGUCCACACCAAGAUGGAACCAGAGCUGGACACACGCCUGUCCUCAGCUCUCUAACCGGUCUUCUUGCCAUACAAGACAGAUAAGUCAGCCACAAACGGUAUUUUUCCUGUACCCAACGAACCCCUGGAUGCUCCCCAAGAAAUUCUGCCCUCAUCCCAACGAUUGAUACCCCUUAGCUGAGCACAGGUCCCUCUCUAGGUGCCAGCACCAGGCCUGCUGAUUGUCGUGCUGCUUUCUACCCAGGCUUGGGGAAAAAAGCAGCCACACACAGCCACGGGAAUGGCUGGCAGACCAGCAACCUGGUGAGCAAGGCUGUGCACGGGAGGGCAGCACGGGGAAGCAGAGCAGGAGGCUGCUCCUCUCGUGCCUCUCAUCUGCCUUGCAGAUGGACAGCCCAACACCAACGGAAACAGAUGACCACCAGGGCCUGAGCUCCAUUUGACAAACUGGUGUUCACGUCCUACGAAAAAGAUAAGUCACUCCCAAACUGUAGCCUGUCUUGCACCUCCAGGCCUAUGGAAGCUCCAUAGCAUCCUCCUGCAUUAACCCAAAACUUUAACUCUGCUUUGCUGAAUCUCGACCCCACUGCACGUGCCGGCACCACACCGCAUGACUGCAGUAGCUGUGACAACGCGGCGCUGCUGACACAGUGAGCCCAAAAUGGCCAAGGAAACCAUUUUCAGACCAGCAACCCGGUGAGCGGGGCUGUGCAGGGGAGGGCAGAGCAGAGAAGCAGGGCAGGAGGCUGCUCCUUUCGUCCUUCCUCUCUGCACUGCAGAUGGGUGUCUACUCCAAGAUGGAACCAGAGCUGGACAUGCGCCUGUCCUCAGCUCUCUAACCGGUCUCCAUGCCAUACCAGACAGAUAAGUCAGCCAGAAACGGUAUCCUUCGUAGGCCCGAAGGGCCCCUAACUGCUCCCCAAGACACCCCUGCCCUCACCCCAACAGUUGAUAUUAGUUAGCUGAGCAGGGGACCCACUCUAGGUGCUGGCACCUGGCCUGCUGAUUGCCGUGCCGCUUUGCACCCAGGCUUGGGGAAACAGGCAGCCCCACACAGCCACGGGCAUGGCUGGCAGACCAGCAACCUGGUGAGCAGGGCUGUGCACGGGAGGGCAGCAUGGGGAAGCAGAGCAGGAGGCUGUUCCUCUUGUGUCUCCCAUCUGCCUUGCAGAUGGACAGCCCAACACCAACGAAAA